ensembl:rRNA 5S_rRNA 5S ribosomal RNA
AUCUACAACCAUACAACCCUGAACAGGCCCGAUGUCAUCUGAUCUCGGAAGCUAAGCAGGUUCGGGCCUGGUUAGUACUUGGAUAUAAGACUGCUUGGGAAUACCGGGUGCUGUAGUCU